UACGUAGGGGGCAAGCGUUAUCCGGAUUUACUGGGUGUAAAGGGAGCGUAGACGGAAUUGCAAGUCUGAUGUGAAAAUCCGGGGCCCAACCCCGGAACUGCAUUGGAAACUGUAUUUCUAGAGUGUCGGAGAGGCAAGUGGAAUUCCUGGUGUAGCGGUGAAAUGCGUAGAUAUCAGGAGGAACACCAGUGGCGAAGGCGGCUUGUUGGACGAUGACUGACGUUGAGGCUCGAAAGCGUGGGGAGCAAACAGG
rnacentral:rRNA from 1 species